AUUGAACGCUGGCGGCAGGCCUAACACAUGCAAGUCGAGCGGAUGAAGGGAGCUUGCUCCUGGAUUCAGCGGCGGACGGGUGAGUAAUGCCUAGGAAUCUGCCUGGCAGUGGGGGAUAACGUCCGGAAACGGGCGCUAAUACCGCAUACGUCCUGAGGGAGAAAGUGGGGGAUCUUCGGACAUCACGCUAUCAGAUGAGCCUAGGUCGGAUUAGCUAGUUGGUGGGGUAAAGGCCUACCAAGGCGACGAUCCGUAACUGGUCUGAGAGGAUGAUCAGUCACACUGGAACUGAGACACGGUCCAGACUCCUACGGGAGGCAGCAGUGGGGAAUAUUGGACAAUGGGCGAAAGCCUGAUCCAGCCAUGCCGCGUGUGUGAAGAAGGUCUUCGGAUUGUAAAGCACUUUAAGUUGGGAGGAAGGGCAGUAAGUUAAUACCUUGCUGUUUUGACGUUACCAACAGAAUAAGCACCGGCUAACUUCGUG
rnacentral:rRNA from 1 species